CCUACGGGUGGCAGCAGUGGGGAAUAUUGGGCAAUGGGCGCAAGCCUGACCCAGCAACGCCGCGUGAAGGAAGAAGGCUUUCGGGUUGUAAACUUCUUUUUUUGAGGACGAAACAAAUGACGGUACUCACUGAAUAAGCCACGGCUAACUACGUGCCAGCAGCCGCGGUAAUACGUAGGUGGCAAGCGUUAUCCGGAUUUACUGGGUGUAAAGGGCGUGUAGGCGGGACUGCAAGUCAGAUGUGAAACCCAUGGGCUCAACCCAUGGACUGCAUUUGAAACUGUAGUUCUUGAGUGAAGGAGAGGCAGGCGGAAUUCGGUGUGUAGCGGUGAAAUGCGUAGAUAUCCGGAGGAACACCGGUGGCGAAGGCGGCCUGCUGGACUGUAACUGACGCUGAGGCGCGAAAGCGUGGGGAGCAAACAGGAUUAGAUACCCUAGUAGUC
rnacentral:rRNA from 1 species